UGCCUCCACAUGGUGGGCAGGCAGAGACACAUGCCUCCAUGGAAGAGGACGAUUGUGAUGAGAACAUCAUAUUUGAGGACGACGAGGAAGAGGAUGAGGGGUACCUUUUUGGAGGCCAAGAACCUGAUGAUUGGGAAGCUGAUGAGGAUGUCGAUCUCGAGACGGCUAAUGAAGAUCCCAA